rnacentral:rRNA from 1 species
CCUACGGGAGGCAGCAGUGGGGAAUUUUGGACAAUGGGCGCAAGCCUGAUCCAGCCAUGCCGCGUGUGGGAAGAAGGCCUUCGGGUUGUAAACCACUUUUGUCAGGGAAGAAACGGCUCUUACUAAUAUUAGGGGCUAAUGACGGUACCUGAAGAAUAAGUACCGGCUAACUACGUGCCAGCAGCCGCGGUAAUACGUAGGGUGCAAGCGUUAAUCGGAAUUACUGGGCGUAAAGCGUGCGCAGGCGGCUUUGCAAGACAGAUGUGAAAUCCCCGGGCUCAACCUGGGAACUGCAUUUGUGACUGCAUGGCUAGAGUACGGUAGAGGGGGAUGGAAUUCCGCGUGUAGCAGUGAAAUGCGUAGAUAUGCGGAGGAACACCGAUGGCGAAGGCAAUCCCCUGGACCUGUACUGACGCUCAUGCACGAAAGCGUGGGGAGCAAACAGGAUUAGAUACCCUGGUAGUCCACGCCCUAAACGAUGUCAACUGGUUGUUGGACGGCUUGCUGUUCAGUAACGAAGCUAACGCGNGAGUGACGCCGNGGAGGACGGCGCGAGUAGAAGUAAAGAAGUAGAGNGNGAGAGNGCGAGGACGACGACGAGGGAGGAGG